rnacentral:rRNA from 1 species
GGCAUGACCGACUGGGGUUAUAGGACAGCAACACUGUACAACAGAGACUAGAUGAAGUGUUUGGAAUGAUACGCCAAAGAGAGUGAAAGCCUCGUAAUUAAAAAUCAAAGUUGGCAAGCUGUAUCCUGAGUAGCACGGUACACGAGAAAUUCCGUGUGAAUUCGCGAGGACCACCUCGUAAGGCUAAAUACUCACUUGUGACCGAUAGUGAACCAGUACCGCGAGGGAAAGGUGAAAAGAACCCCGGAAGGGGAGUGAAAUAGAACAUGAAACCGUGAGCUUACAAGCAAUGGGAGGACGAUUUUAACGUCUGACCGUUGUGCCUGUUGAAGAAUGAGCCGGCGACUUAUAG